rnacentral:rRNA from 1 species
UACAGAGAGUGCAAACGUCGUUCGGAAUUACUGGGCUUAAAGAGCACGUAGGCGGCAUCGUAAGUGUCAGGCGAAAUCCCACGGCUCACCCGUGGAACUGCCUGGCAGACUGCGAUGCUCGAGUGUGGUAGGGGAGAGCGGAACUCCUGGUGGAGCGGUGAAAUGCGUAGACAUCAGGAGGAACACCGGUGGCGAAGGCGGCUCUCUGGUCCACAACUGACGCUGAGGUGCGAAAGCGAGGGGAGCAAACGGG